GGGGUUGUAGCUCAGUGGUAGAUCACUUGCCUAGCAUACAUGAGGCACUGGGUUUGAUUCUCAGCUCCA
rnacentral:tRNA from 1 species